rnacentral:rRNA from 1 species
GAUGAACGCUGGCGGCGUGCCUAAUACAUGCAAGUCGAGCGAACAGACGAGGAGCUUGCUCCUCUGACGUUAGCGGCGGACGGGUGAGUAACACGUGGAUAACCUACCUAUAAGACUGGGAUAACUUCGGGAAACCGGAGCUAAUACCGGAUAAUAUAUUGAACCGCAUGGUUCAAUAGUGAAAGACGGUUUUGCUGUCACUUAUAGAUGGAUCCGCGCCGCAUUAGCUAGUUGGUAAGGUAACGGCUUACCAAGGCAACGAUGCGUAGCCGACCUGAGAGGGUGAUCGGCCACCCUGGAACUGAGACACGGUCCAGACUCCUACGGGAGGCAGCAGUAGGGAAUCUUCCGCAAUGGGCGAAAGCCUUACGGAGCAACGCCGCGUGAGUGAUGAAGGUCUUCGGAUCGUAAAACUCUGUUAUUAGGGAAGAACAAAUGUGUAAGUAACUAUGCACGUCUUGACGGUACCUAAUCAGAAAGCCACGGCUAACUACGUG